CUCUUCUACAAACAUUUGGGAUUAUCCGAAGUGCACGUUUGGAAUUUAGAUUUGAUAACCUUCUUGUGUUGAAGUUUGACAGCAUUCCAGGUUGCUGGACACGUGACUGAAGAAGGUGAGUUGGUUAAUUCAGGACACGUGGACGAUGGGAUAGAAGCGGUGGAAGAGGUAUCAACGGUGGAGAAGAAGCCCAGGAAAAAUAGAGGAAAGAGGGAACAGGAUGCAUUCUGGAAGGAUUUCGUCUUCACGGACUGGAGAAAGAUAAAAGGGGAAGGUGAGGAACCAGGGGCAUCAUCAAAGAAAUAGGAAAGGAAGAGGCCCGACUCGUCGAGGAGGGAAGAGGCCGGCGAUCUCGUCGGAGUUCUGGUUAUUGUUCUAUAAUUUCUUGUUUCUUGAUACCUUGCUGUUAAUAAUCCAGAUUAGAGAGGAACUCUAUCAAUUUUCUAGUUGAAUGGGCAGGUUAACUUGUUGUUUGCCCAGAACUUGAUUUGAUCUUUGUUUGGAUGCUUUUCUUUGCAAUGAAUUGAGCUAAAUCGGCUCUUAGACGG